CGAACGCUGGCGGCGUGCUUAACACAUGCAAGUCGAACGCGAAAGGGACUUCGGUCCUGAGUAAAGUGGCGCACGGGUGAGUAACGCGUAGAUAACCUGUCUUUAUGUCUGGAAUAAUACGCCGAAAGGGGUACUAAUACCGGAUAUUUUUGCAUUGCAUAAGCAGUGUAAGCAAAGGUGGCCUCUGACAUAAGCUACUGCAUAAAGAGGGGUCUGCGUACCAUUAGCUAGUAGGUGGGGUAAAGGCCUACCUAGGCUACGAUGGUUAGCGGGUCUGAGAGGAUGAUCCGCCACACUGGCACUGGAACACGGGCCAGACUCCUACGGGAGGCAGCAGUGAGGAAUAUUGCGCAAUGGGGGCAACCCUGACGCAGCGACGCCGCGUGAGUGAGGAAGGCCUUCGGGUCGUAAAGCUCUGUCAAAGGGAAAGAAGUGCAUGGUGGUUAAUACCUGCCAUGUUUGACGGUACCCUUAAAGGAAGCACCGGCUAACUCCGUGCCAGCAGCCGC
rnacentral:rRNA from 1 species